CACGUAGGGGGCGAGCGUUGUCCGGAUUUAUUGGGCGUAAAGAGCUCGUAGGCGGUUCGGCAAGUCGGGUGUGAAAUUUCGAGGCUCAACCUCGAAACGCCACUCGAUACUGCUGUGACUGGAGUCCGGUAGAGGAGUGCGGAAUUCCUGGUGUAGCGGUGAAAUGCGCAGAUAUCAGGAGGAACACCGAUGGCGAAGGCAGAUCUCUGGGCCUUACCUGACGCUGAGGAGCGAAAGCUGGGGGAGCGAACAGG
rnacentral:rRNA from 1 species